rnacentral:rRNA from 1 species
GAUGAACGCUGGCGGCGUGCCUAAUACAUGCAAGUCGAGCGAACGGACGAGAAGCUUGCUUCUCUGAUGUUAGCGGCGGACGGGUGAGUAACACGUGGAUAACCUACCUAUAAGACUGGGAUAACUUCGGGAAACCGGAGCUAAUACCGGAUGAUAUUUUGAACCGCAUGGUUCAAAAGUGAAAGACGGUCUUGCUGUCACUUAUAGAUGGAUCCGCGCUGCAUUAGCUAGUUGGUAAGGUACCGGCUUACCAAGGCAACGAUGCAUAGCCGACCUGAGAGGGUGAUCGGCCACACUGGAACUGAGACACGGUCCAGACUCCUACGGGAGGCAGCAGUAGGGAAUCUUCCGCAAUGGGCGAAAGCCUGACGGAGCAACGCCGCGUGAGUGAUGAAGGUCUUCGGAUCGUAAAACUCUGUUAUUAGGGAAGAACAUAUGUGUAAGUAACUGUGCACAUCUUGACGGUACCUAAUCAGAAAGCCACGGCUAACUACGUG